AUGGUGUGCAGCAUGUGUCGCGCCCUUUUGCUCCUUGGCCUCUUCCUGAUCCUGACGCCGCUGGUGUGUGGGUACACCGACGGCGGGUUCAGCGUGGAGCUCAUCCACCGGGACUCCCCCAGGUCGCCGUUCCACGACCCGUCGCUCACCCCGCACGGCCGCGUGCUUGCCGCCGUGCGGCGCUCGUACGCCGGCUCAGGCUCUCCUGACCCUGACGGCGCGGUGUCGGAGGUGAUCUCAGGCACGUUCCAGUUCUUCAUGUACAUGAGCGCGGCGACGUCGCUCGGCCGGAGGUUCUCCUACUGCCUCGUGCCCUACUUAAGCGACGCGUCCUCGGCACUCAACUUCGGGUCCCGCGCCACCGUGACGGAGCCGGGCGCGGUGAGCACGCCGAUGGUCCACUCCCCCGUGCACGUGGAGGCUUCCUACACAGUCGAAAUCAUGGCCCUUAGGGUUGGGAACUCGAUCAUCAAGCUGCCGAAUUCGAAGCGGUCCCCCGUCAUCGUCGACUCCGGGUCGAUGCUGACGUCCCUCGACGGGGAGCUGCUGGACCCCAUCGUGGAGGCGCUCACCCGGAGCAUCAAGCUCCCGCGCAAGCAGUCGCCCAACCCGGAGCUGUUUUCGGUGUGCUAUGAGGCGGACGGCAUGAAGGCGCUGGAGAAGGUUUUCCCGGACGUCACCUUGGAGCUGGGCGGGGGCGCCUUGGUCACGCUCAAGGCAGAGAACGUGUUCAUGGACCUUCUGCUACAGACCGUGUGCUUGGCCAUCGUUCCAGUGAAGUACGAGGGUUCGGUUCCGACGAUCGGCAGCGUCAUGCAGCACAACAUGCAUGUCGGCUACGACCUCGACAAGCGCACCAUCACCUUCGCCCCUGCCGACUGCGCCACCUCUUACCCUUCUCCUCCCGCCUCUCUUGUGUAG
rnacentral:rRNA from 1 species